AACGAACGCUGGCGGCAUGCCUAACACAUGCAAGUCGAACGAUGCCUUCGGGCAUAGUGGCGCACGGGUGCGUAACGCGUGGGAAUCUGCCUUUCGGUUCGGAAUAACUCAGGGAAACUUGAGCUAAUACCGGAUAACGUCGCAAGACCAAAGAUUUAUCACCGAAAGAUGAGCCCGCGUAGGAUUAGCUAGUUGGUGAGGUAAAGGCUCACCAAGGCGACGAUCCUUAGCUGGUCUGAGAGGAUGAUCAGCCACACUGGGACUGAGACACGGCCCAGACUCCUGCGGGAGGCAGCAGUGGGGAAUAUUGGACAAUGGGCGAAAGCCUGAUCCAGCAAUGCCGCGUGAGUGAUGAAGGCCUUAGGGUUGUAAAGCUCUUUUACCCGGGAAGAUAAUGACGGUACCGGGAGAAUAAGCCCCGGCUAACUCCGUG
rnacentral:rRNA from 1 species